CUACGGGAGGCAGCAGUGGGGAUAUGCGCAAUGGGCGGAAGCCUGACGCAGCGACGCGCGUGAGGGAUGAAGGCUUCGGGUGUAAACCUCUUUCAGCAGGGACGAAGCGAGAGUGACGGUACCUGCAGAAGAAGCACCGGCCAACUACGUGCCAGCAGCCGCGGUAAUACGUAGGGUGCAAGCGUUGUCCGGAAUUAUUGGGCGUAAAGAGCUCGUAGGCGGUCUGUCGCGUCGGCUGUGAAAAACUAGGGGCUCAACCCCGAGCCUGCAGUCGAUACGGGCAGACUAGAGUGCUGUAGGGGAGACUGGAAUUCCUGGUGUAGCGGUGAAAUGCGCAGAUAUCAGGAGGAACACCGGUGGCGAAGGCGGGUCUCUGGGCAGUAACUGACGCUGAGGAGCGAAAGCGUGGGGAGCGAACAGGAUUAGAUACCCUGGUAGUCCACGCCGUAAACGGUGGGUGCUAGGUGUGAGCGGUAUUCCACGCCGUUCGUGCCGCAGCUAACGCAUUAAGCACCCCGCCUGGGGAGUACGGCCGCAAGGCUAAAACUCAAAGGAAUUGACGGGGGCCCGCACAAGCAGCGGAGCAUGUGGCUUAAUUCGACGCAACGCGAAGAACCUUACCAAGGCUUGACAUGCAGGGAAAUCCUCCAGAGAUGGGGGGUCCGCAAGGGUCCUGCACAGGUGGUGCAUGGUUGUCGUCAGCUCGUGUCGUGAGAUGUUGGGUUAAGUCCCGCAACGAGCGCGACCCCCGUUCUAUGUUGCCAGCGCUGAUGGCGGGGACUCAUAGGAGACUGCCGGGGUCAACUCGGAGGAAGGUGGGGAUGACGUCAAAUCAUCAUGCCCCUUAUGUCUUGGGCUGCACACAUGCUACAAUGGCCGGUACAAAGGGCUGCUAAACCGCGAGGUGGAGCGAAUCCCAAAAAGCCGGUCUCAGUUCGGAUUGGGGUCUGCAACUCGACCCCAUGAAGUCGGAGUUGCUAGUAAUCGCAGAUCAGCAACGCCGCGGUGAAUACGUUCCCGGG
rnacentral:rRNA from 1 species